AAAUAGAGGUCCAAAGCCCCUAAAACCUACCGUGCUCCCAUCGUGGAAACCCUUUAAACAGAGAGCCCUCGCUGGCACUAGUUAUCUGAGAAGCAGAACCGCGCCCCGGCGCGAGAACUGAAAGAAAAUUA
rnacentral:misc_RNA from 1 species